rnacentral:rRNA from 1 species
CGCGGCCUAUCAGCUUGUUGGUGAGGUAAUGGCUCACCAAGGCGACGACGGGUAGCCGGCCUGAGAGGGCGACCGGCCACACUGGGACUGAGACACGGCCCAGACUCCUACGGGAGGCAGCAGUGGGGAAUAUUGGGCAAUGGAGGGAACUCUGACCCAGCGACGCCGCGUGCGGGAUGAAGGCCUUCGGGUUGUAAACCGCUUUCAGCAGGGAAGAGGCGAAAGUGACGGUACCUGCAGAAGAAGCACCGGCUAACUAUGUGCCAGCAGCCGCGGUAAUACAUAGGGUGCAAGCGUUGUCCGGAAUUAUUGGGCGUAAAGAGCUCGUAGGUGGUUCGUAACGUCGGAUGUGAAACUCUGGGGCUUAACCCCAGACCUGCAUUCGAUACGGGCGAGCUAGAGUGUGGUAGGGGAGACUGGAAUUCCUGGUGUAGCGGUGGAAUGCGCAGAUAUCAGGAGGAACACCAAUGGCGAAGGCAGGUCUCUGGGCCAUUACUGACACUGAGGAGCGAAAGCGUGGGGAGCGAACAGGAUUAGAUACCCUGGUAGUCCACGCCGUAAACGGUGGGCACUAGUUGUGGGAACCUUCCACGGUUUCUGCGACGCAGCUAACGCAUUAAGUGCCCCGCCUGGGGAGUACG